rnacentral:rRNA from 1 species
GUCUAUGGCCAUACCACCCUAAACAUACCUGAUCUCGUUUGAACUUGGAAGCUAAGCAGGGUCAGGCCUGGUUAGUACUUGGACAGGAGAAAAUGGCUAUUGGAU